GUGAGGAAUUUUCCGCAAUGGGCGAAAGCCUGACGGAGCAAUGCCGCGUGAAGGAUGAAGGCCUAUGGGUUGUAAACUUCUUUUCUUAGAGAAGAGUAUUGACGGUAUCUGAGGAAUAAGCAUCGGCUAACUCUGUGCCAGCAGCCGCGGUAAGACAGAGGAUGCAAGCGUUAUCCGGAAUGAUUGGGCGUAAAGCGUCUGUAGGUGGCUUCAAAAGUCUCCUGUCAAAGAUCAGGGCUUAACCCUGGGCCGGCAGGAGAAACUCUGAGGCUAGAGUUUGGUAGGGGCAGAGGGAAUUCCCGGUGGAGCGGUGAAAUGCGUAGAGAUCGGGAGGAACACCAAAGGCGAAAGCACUCUGCUGGGCCACAACUGACACUGAGAGACGAAAGCGAGGGGAGCAAAAGGGAUUAGAAACCCUGGUAGUCC
rnacentral:rRNA from 1 species